CGAAAUUUUCAAAGCAGAGUGGGAAGUGGCACUCUUCCUUACACAGAAGACCAACAGCACGGAACUCACUCGCGCCAUCGCCCAGGUCAGACAGCUGCGGAAAGAAUCUUGGUGUGUUACAGUGGUCGUGGCAAGUAAUGACCCAAUCUUCUUAAGCAACUUCGCAAAAUGGUCACUCAAGGGUCGCCUCUUAAUAUGGCCUACAAGACUUCUGCUAGUAACCCAUCUGCCCACAAUCACUAUCAAGGAAUUGUUACAGUCGCACUGGACGUUUUCAAUGAUGAAUACCAUGCUGAUGAAUUAUGAUGAGUCUUUAAUGGGAUGCAGUCUUUAUGCCCACCUUCCUUACACACCUCAAGGAGCACAAGUGGUCCGGCUGGCUUCAUGCAAGAGACUCAACAAUCAUCCGUCUAAGUUUAAUCACAUAAUUUUUCCACAAAAAUAUACAAAGUGAGUAUAUUUGUUUAAUGUGAAUGUGUGUCAUAUUGUUUAUGGGUCACGCAUAGCUGCUUAUCCGUACCGGAUAUAUUUUUAUUUCUUCGCUUUACUUGCGUUUUGUUUCUAUACGGGAUCACUGUUUGGGAUGAGCCUUCUCCAUAUG